rnacentral:rRNA from 1 species
UACGUAGGGCGCAAGCGUUGUCCGGAAUUAUUGGGCGUAAAGAGCUCGUAGGCGGUCUGUCGCGUCCGCUGUGAAAACUCGAGGCUCAACUUCGAGCUGUCGGUGGAAACUUUCUGGCUAGAGUCCGGAAGAGGAGAAUGGAAUUCCUGGUGUAGCGGUGAAAUGCGCAGAUAUCAGGAAGAACACCCGUGGCGAAGGCGGUUCUCUGGGACGGUACUGACGCUGAGACGCGAAAGCGUGGGGAGCGAACAGG